GUGAAAUUGUUGAAAGGGAAACGCUUGAAGUCAGUCAUGUCCUUUAGAAAUCAACCUGACUUUGGUUGGGCGCACUUUCUUCUGGACAGGUCAGCAUCAGUUUUGACCAUUGGAAAAGGAGUCUGGAAAGGUAGCACCUCUUGAGGUGUGUUAUAGUCUGAACUCAUAUACAGUGGUUGGGACUGAGGAACUCAGCGUGAUCAGGUCUUUUGGCUUGGUUUGGAGGUUUCGGCCUCACACAACGCGCUUUGGAUGCUGGCGUAAUGGCUUUAAUCGACCCGUCUUGAAACACGGACCAAGGAGUCUAACAUACAUGCAAGUGUUUGGGUGAAAAACCCAUGCGCGAAAUGAAAGUGAAAGUUAAGAACCCUCAAGGGUGCAUUGACGCCUGGCCCAGAACAAUUUGUGACGGAGCUACGGUAGAGCAUGCAUGUUGGGACCCGAAAGAUGGUGAACUAUGCCUGAAUAGGGUGAAGCCAGAGGAAACUCUGGUGGAAGCCCGCAGCGAUUCUGACGUGCAAAUCGAUCGUCAAAUUUGGGUAUAGGGGCGAAAGACUAAUCGAACCAUCUAGUAGCUGGUUCCCGCCGAAGUUUCCCUCAAGAUAGCAGACGCUCAUUUAUUCAGAUUUA
rnacentral:rRNA from 1 species